UACGUAGGGGGCAAGCGUUGUCCGGAAUCAUUGGGCGUAAAGCGCGUGUAGGCGGUUCGGUAAGUCGGCUGUGAAAGUCCAGGGCUCAACCCUGGGAUGCCGGUCGAUACUGCCGGACUAGAGUUCGGAAGAGGCGAGUGGAAUUCCCGGUUUAGCGGUGAAAUGCGCAGAUAUCGGGAGGAACACCAAUGGCGAAGGCAGCUCGCUGGGACGUUAUUGACGCUGAGACGCGAAAGCGUGGGGAGCAAACAGG
rnacentral:rRNA from 1 species